GGCCUUUGUGUUGCCCACCCACUCUUGGAAACUAGUGAAUGUGGUAUCAAAAAGGGUAUAAAAUUAAACUCUCUGCAGCCUAUUUCUGCCCUUGAAUUUACUGUGUUAGGCAUAGCAGCUGCACAGGUAAUGGUU
rnacentral:snoRNA from 1 species